rnacentral:rRNA from 1 species
UGAAUACGAGACGCUAAGGCGUCGAAGUAGUGUAUAUCAGACUUCCAAGAAAAGCUUGCACUGUCAUAGAUAAAAAAUGCCUGUACCAUAACCGACACAGGUGGGUAGGUAGAGUAUACUAAGGGGCGCGAGAUAACUCUCUCUAAGGAACUCGGCAAAAUAACUCCGUAACUUCGGGAGAAGGAGUGCCUUAUUUAUAAGGUUGCAAUAACAAGAUCCAAGCAACUGUUUAUCAAAAACACAGGUCUCCGCUAAGUCGUAAGACGAUGUAUGGGGGCUGACGCCUGCCCAGUGCCAGAAGGUUAAAGAAGUUGGUUAGCAAUUGCGAAGCUGAUAACUGAAGCCCUGGUGAACGGCGGCCGUAACAAUAACGGUCCUAAGGUAGCGAAAUUCCUUGUCGGGUAAGUUCCGACCCGCACGAAAGGCGUAAUGAUUUGGAUACUGUCUCGGAGAGGGGCUCGGUGAAAUAGACUUGUCUGUGAAGAUGCGGACUACCUGCACCAGGACAGAAAGACCCUAUGAAGCUUUACUGUAACUUGAAAUUGAAAUUGGACUUUAUUCGCGCAGCAUAGGUGGGAGGCGUUGAUUAUAAUCUUGCGGGAUUAUUGGAGCCAUCAGUGAGAUACCACUCUUGUAAUGUUAGAUUUCUAACUUUGAAUCAUUAUCUGGUCAAAGAACAGUUUCAGGCGGGCAGUUUGACUGGGGCGGUCGCCUCCUAAAUGGUAACGGAGGCGUACAAAGGUUUCCUCUGAACGGUUAGAAAUCGUAUCUAGAGUGUAAAGGCAUAAGGAAGCUUGACUGUGAGACCUACAAGUCGAGCAGGGACGAAAGUCGGUCUUAGUGAUCUGACGGUACUGAGUGGAAAGGCCGUUACUCAACGGAUAAAAGUUACUCUAGGAUAACAGGCUGAUCUCCCCCAAGAGUUCACAUCGACGGGGAGGUUUGGCACCUUGAUGUCGGCUCAUCGCAUCCUGGGGCGGUAGUACGUCCCAAGGGUUGGGCUGUUCGCCCAUGAAAGCGGUACGCGAGCCGGGUUCAGAACGUCGUGAGACAGUUCGGUCCAUAUCCGGUGUAGGCGUUAGAAUAUUGAGAGGAGCCUUCUUUAGUACGAGAGGACCGAGAAGGACAUACCUCUGGUGUACCAGUUAUCGUGCCAACGGUAAACGCUGGGUAGCUAUGUAUGGAGUGGAUAACCGCUGAAAGCAUCUAAGUGGGAAGCCCACCUCAAGAUAAGUAUUCUC